rnacentral:ncRNA from 1 species
GAAGAACGGGUAGCGAAAUCGUGGCUUGACGAACAGAAACAGAAUAUAAGGCGUAACAGGUGGGCAAGCUAGCUUAAAGAUGGCAAAGACCCAAAAGGUAACCGUAACCCCAAGGCGUAAAUUCUGCAAGUAAACGAUAAAAGUA